rnacentral:rRNA from 1 species
UACGUAGGGGGCAAGCGUUGUCCGGAAUCAUUGGGCGUAAAGCGCGUGUAGGCGGCUCGAUAAGUCCGCUCUGAAAGUCCGGGGCUCAACCCCGGGAGGCGGGUGGAUACUGUCGAGCUAGAGUCCGGAAGAGGCGAGUGGAAUUCCUGGUGUAGCGGUGAAAUGCGCAGAUAUCAGGAGGAACACCAAUGGCGAAGGCAGCUCGCUGGGACGGUACUGACGCUGAGACGCGAAAGCGUGGGGAGCAAACAGG